GACGAACCGUGCGAACGUUAUUCGGAAUCACUGGGCUUAAAGCGCGUGUAGGCGGGACGGCACGUCUGUCGCUGAAAUCCCCCGGCUUAACCGGGGAACUGGCGGAGAUACGACCGUCCUGGAGGGGCGUAGGGGGACCUGGAACUUCCGGUGGAGCGGUGAAAUGCGUUGAGAUCGGAAGGAACGCCCGCGGCGAAAGCGCGGUCCUGGACCCCACCUGACGCUGAGACGCGAAAGCCAGGGGAGCGAACGGGG
rnacentral:rRNA from 1 species